rnacentral:rRNA from 1 species
CCUGCCCGGCGGCCACCGCUAUAGGAUCCGAUUAAGACAUGCGAGUCGAGAGUCGUAAUGGACUCGGCGGACUACUCAGUAACACGUGGACAACGUGCCUUAAGUGGGGGAUAAUCUCGGGAAAUUGAGGAUAAUACCCCAUAGAUCAUGGCAUCUGGAAUGAGCUAUGGUUCAAAGUUCCGGCGCUUAAGGAUCGGUCUGCGGCCUAUCAGGUAGUAGUGGGUGUAAAGUACCUACUAGCCUAUGACGGGUAUGGGCCUUGAGAGAGGGAGCCCAGAGUUGGAUUCUGAGACACGAAUCCAGGCCCUACGGGGCGCAGCAGUCGCGAAAACUUCACACUGGGGGCAACCCCGAUGAGGGAAUUCCUAGUGCUAGCUCUUUUUGAGUUAGCUUUUCUUUAGCGUAGAUAACUAAAGGAAUAAGGGCUGGGUAAGACGGGUGCCAGCCGCCGCGGUAAUACCUGCAGCCCAAGUGGUGGCCGAUAGUAUUGAGUCUAAAACGUUCGUAGCCGGUCUGAUAAAUCUUUGGGUAAAUCGGGAAGCUUAACUUUCCGACUUCCGAGGAGACUGUCAGACUUGGGACCGGGAGAGGCUAGAGGUACUUCUGGGGUAGGGGUAAAAUCCUGUAAUCCUAGAAGGACCACCGGUGGCGAAGGCGUCUAGCUAGAACGGAUCCGACGGUGAGGGACGAAGCCCUGGGGCGCAAACGGGAUUAGAUACCCCGGUAGUCCAGGGUGUAAACGCUGCAGACUUGGUGUUGGAAAUCCUUCGAGGGUAUUCAGUGCCGGAGAGAAGUUGUUAAGUCUGCUACUUGGGGAGUACGUCCGCAAGGAUGAAACUUAAAGGAAUUGGCGGGGGAGCAC